rnacentral:lncRNA from 1 species
AAAAUAUCUUGGAAUUCUUGAUAUUGACUAGGAAUAUCACUUGACGUCUUUUCACUAUCUGAAAUAGGCGUGGCAUAUGUAGCAAAAGAUGACCCUUCUUUGGCUGCAUGCAUGAAAGUUCUUACUCCUACUAGUAAGGGCUUAGAUGUAUUAGACUUAUGUAUUUCCUCUUGAUUAAUAGAAUUUCGAAAUAAACUACUAGGAAAGUUAAGGUUACAAGAAAUUCAAUCUAUCUGAGGAUUAUACUUUUUUAAAUAGGAUAGUCCUAAAAUGACUGGAUUCAAAGGAGAUCGUAUCACAUUAAAUAUUACUCACUAUUAUGAUCUUUAAUU